rnacentral:misc_RNA from 1 species
GAUGAAGAACGUAGCGAAAUGCGAUACGUAAUGUGAAUUGCAGAAUUCAGUGAAUCACCGAAUCUUUGAACGCACAUUGCGCCCCCUGGUAUUCCGGGGGGCAUGCCUGUCCGAGCGUCAUUACAACCCUCAAGCUCAGCUUGGUAUUGGGCCCCGCCGCUCCGGCGGGCCCUAAAGUCAGUGGCGGUGCCGUCCGGCUCCGAGCGUAGUAAUUCUUCUCGCUCUGGAGGUCCGGUCGUGUGCUCGCCAGCAACCCCCAAUUUUUUUCAGGUUGACCUCGGAUCAGGUAGGGAUACCCGCUGAACUUAAGCAUAUCAAUAAGCGGAGGA